UCUACAACAUCACAAUUUAUGUGAUAGAAUUGGAGGUCCACUAAAGUCUGAGCAGGUCUACUAGAUUUCAGCAGUUAGUGGACCUGCUGAAAAAAGUUAAGGUCGAGGCCUGCAGAAUCUUGAAAAGUCAGGUUUUAGAUGGGAUUUACAGGGUUUUCCCUAGCCCCAAAAAAGGUGGUAAAUUUACCACUUUUCGAGGUCCAUGUCCCCCUUUUCAUGAGUUUUCCCCAAAAAACAAUUUUUCAAAUUAAUUAAAAGUUAAUUUCAAUCAAUUUAAACUAUUAAAAGCCCAAAAGAGUAUCAAAGUAUUCAAGCAAAUCCAAACAUGUCCCCCAAAAUAGUCUCUUUUUUCCAGAAAAAUAAAUUUGGGGGGAUAUGAUGUCCCUCAAAAUAAAUUUCCUAGGGAAAACCAUGGAUUUAUAGUAGUAAGACGUUGAACAACCACUUGCAGCUUUAUUAAUUCACAAUUUGGGCAUACCAGUCAAAACUCCAUUAUCUAGCAUUUCCAGUUAAUCCAGAAUUUUAGACUGGGGUAGGGGGUGAUGGUAUUUAUCUCAAUGCAGAUCAAAGAUGCAAAUCAUAUUCCUGGCCAGUGUGCUUUUACUUGGUUUUAGUUUGAAAUAUAAAUGUUGGUUGUUGAAUAAUAUUCAAUAUUAAAAUUAUUAUUUAAAGAGAGAAUCCACAGCAAGAUUUCAUUCAAAUUUCAUGUUUAAUCAAAUAUAAACCAUGUUCUCCGCAAGUAAUUGCCAACUUCUCCACAUGAAUUAGCGGCGGAGAAUGAAUGAUAUAGGACACAACGAUUCUAUGACCACUUGAUCCGUAGAUCGACUCCUCUACCUAUUGAGCUAAUCGGAUGGGCUACUCUGGAAAUGAAAAAACAACAACAACAAAACACAAACAUAAAGCAAAUAUUUAUUUCAUAAUAUUUAAAUACACAAUCAAAUGGCAUUUUAUAUAGCUAAAACAUCAUCAAAGUCAUUGUACAUUCAGGUGUAAAUCAAACAUAACAAUAGGAUGCAUGUUUAUAAGGUUUAUAAUCUCCCUGUUUGAAACUACGAUGGUGUUAGGUUUAAAAAAAAAAAAAAAAAAAUGCCUACCUACCUACCCUAUUUUUUUGGCCAUGUCACUGGAAACAAACAAUUUUUUUUUUAGGCCUAAUGAAAAUCUUUUUAUUUUUGAAAUUUUUGAGCCUUGCUGUGUGUAACACAAUUUAUGAUCCUUUAAAAAAUAGAUUCAUAAUAUAAUAACUUUUAAAGUAUUUUGUGGUAAGUUAAUGAAACCUUUCAAAAUCACAUUAUUAAUUUAGUAGUCAGUUUUUGAUCUUUAGUGAUGUUUACGGUACAUGUAAUGUAUCUUCUUUCAGAUAAUAUUCCUUGUUUCUUUGAUGGUUCAUUCCACUACAGCUGGUUCAUAUACCCUACAACAGCCAGGAAAUUGGUCUGUUUACUUUAAGAUCUCAAGAAAAUGUAACAUAUUUUGGAUGUGCUUUGAGGAAUCAGUUUUAUUGCACCAAGAAUAUGGAUUAGAAUGAAGACUGUAAAGGAAGACUGUAAAGGUUCCUGAGAUACAUGAAGAUAACAGAUACUUUUACCAAAGACUUUUAAAUCUUUUUUCAGGAAGGCAAGUGUUUCCUUUUGUUUAUGAAAGCAACUCAGUUGGUUAAGGAGCAGACAACUUGUGAGCAUGGUACAUCACUACCUGUAUUGGUAUUCCAUUUCGACAAUGCUGCUAGCUAGAAUAGGAAUAACAUCUUGCUGUGGUAUGGUCUGUGGAGAGUUUUACUAGGAUAUCACAGAUUGAUUGAAUAUUCAACAAUGAUCACAGACCAGGCAAAGUUUGAAUCUUACUUGCACUUUUGAAUUUAGAAGAAUCUUUGGAGGAGGGUGAAUGCUGUGACCUUUAUUAAUACAUGAUAUUGCUGACACAGUGUGUCAGUCAUCAAAGAAAUGUCAUAACAACACAGUUGGUCAACAGAGAUUUAAAUCCUGUCACAUUCUACCAGUGGAGAAAUAUCUUAUCACAAUAUUUUAAACUUUUGAAGAAGAUAACCAAGUAUUACUACUUUAUCAUGUCUGCAGAAACACCUGGAUUGUUAGUCUUAAAAGUGACAGUCCAGUUAACUUACUAAAAUCUACUCCCCCUUGCCAAACGAAUAUUAUUGACAUGGAAUGACACAAGCCUGACAAUGGUACCUGUAUGAACUCAUAAGAGAAUAGUAUUUGUCUGAAAAGUCAAAGGAUUCUGUUUGUCCCAAACCACUUGAACUGAAAUUGGAUUGACAGGAUUUUUCUGAGAACUGAAAAAAGGAAGUGAAUAUAAAAGAUAGAAAUUGUUGUUGAAUUCAAACGUUUUAAUAUACAACACUUUAGCCUGUUUUGCUGUUCAUAUAGAUGUGUUUAGCUGUUAAGGUUAAACAUCAAGUAAAGGUUGUAGUUUCAGUUACCUACAUUAAAGUAUUGGCUGGAAAUAAAUAUUUACUUUUCA